rnacentral:rRNA from 1 species
GAUGAACGCUGGCGGCGUGCCUAAUACAUGCAAGUCGAGCGAACAGAUGAGGAGCUUGCUCCUCUGACGUUAGCGGCGGACGGGUGAGUAACACGUGGAUAACCUACCUAUAAGACUGGGAUAACUUCGGGAAACCGGAGCUACUACUGGAUAAUAUAUUGAACCGCAUGGUUCAAUAGUGAAAGACGGUUUUGCUGUCACUUAUAGACGGAUCCGCGCCGCAUUAGCUAGUUGGUAAGGUAACGGCUUACCAAGGCAACGAUGCGUAGCCGACCUGAGAGGAUGAUCGGCCACACUGGAACUGAGACACGGUCCAGACUCCUACGGGAGGCAGCAGUAGGGAAUCUUCGGCAAUGGGCGAAAGCCUGACGGAGCAACGCCGCGUGAGUGAUGAAGGUCUUCGGGUCGUAAAACUCUGUUAUUAGGGAAGAACAAAUGUGUAAGUAACUAUGCACGUCUUGACGGUACCUAAUCAGAAAGCCACGGCUAACUACGUG